UAACUGAAGAGUUUGAUCAUGGCUCAGAUUGAACGCUGGCGGCAGGCUUAACACAUGCAAGUCGAGCGGGGGAAGGUAGCUUGCUACUGGACCUAGCGGCGGACGGGUGAGUAAUGCUUAGGAAUCUGCCUAUUAGUGGGGGACAACAUCUCGAAAGGGAUGCUAAUACCGCAUACGUCCUACGGGAGAAAGC
rnacentral:rRNA from 1 species